ensembl:snRNA U1 U1 spliceosomal RNA
AUAUUUGCCUGGCAGGGGAGAUACCUACACGAAGGUGGUUUUUCCAGUGUGCAGCUCAUCUGUUUUACACUGGAUAUGCUGAUCCUUGCAGUUUCCCCAAAUGUGGGAAACUUGGCUGCAUAAUUUGUGGUAGUGGGGGACUGUGUUCACUUUUUCCCCUG